rnacentral:rRNA from 1 species
GACGAACGCUGGCGGCGUGCUUAACACAUGCAAGUCGAACGGAAAGGCCCUGCUUUUGUGGGGUGCUCGAGUGGCGAACGGGUGAGUAACACGUGAGUAACCUGCCCUUGACUUUGGGAUAACUUCAGGAAACUGGGGCUAAUACCGGAUAGGAGCUCCUGCUGCAUGGUGGGGGUUGGAAAGUUUCGGCGGUUGGGGAUGGACUCGCGGCUUAUCAGCUUGUUGGGGGGGUAGUGGCUUACCAAGGCUUUGACGGGUAGCCGGCCUGAGAGGGUGACCGGCCACAUUGGGACUGAGAUACGGCCCAGACGCCUACGGGAGGCAGCAGUGGGGAAUAUGGCACAAUGGGCGGAAGCCUGAUGCAGCAACGCCGCGUGCGGGAUGACGGCCUUCGGGUUGUAAACCGCUUUCGCCUGUGACGAAGCGUGAGUGACGGUAAUGGGUAAAGAAGCACCGGCUAACUACGUG